rnacentral:rRNA from 1 species
UACGGAGGGGACUAGCGUUGUUCGGAAUUACUGGGCGUAAAGCGCACGUAGGCGGAUUUGUAAGUUAGGGGUGAAAUCCCGGGGCUCAACCUCGGAACUGCCUUUGAUACUGCAAAUCUCGAGUCCGGAAGAGGUGAGUGGAAUUCCUAGUGUAGAGGUGAAAUUCGUAGAUAUUAGGAAGAACACCAGUGGCGAAGGCGGCUCACUGGUCCGGUACUGACGCUGAGGUGCGAAAGCGUGGGGAGCAAACAGGG